UGGGAAAAGUGGAGGCCACCAGCAAGGCAGAGCCUGCUGCGACUGUGUUUGAGAGAACGAAGACUCUUAGAAUGACUUGCCCAAGGACACACAGCUGGUCAGUCAGCGGUGAAGUCAGGACCAGAGAACCCAGGACUAUGCCAUUAUUUGGCCCUCCAGACUGUUCAAGAAGACAUAUUACUCAUAGUGAGCAAUGGAACAGACAGAAGAGGACUUGGUGAAAGUGAGAAGGCACAUCAAGAAGGAAGGAAGUCAGGGACUGGCUUCGCUCCGCUGCUGACCUAAUGCUCCGUGUCCUAGAGAAAGUCACUCCACCUCUCUGAGCCACCAUUUACCACGUGUCUCAGAAGGGCUUGGAGUGGGUCCCAAACCCAGCUGAUCUUAGCAUCCCCAGGGAAACAUUCAAAUACAUAGAUUCUUAGAAUCCAUCCCUGCCAUGUCUGAUAUAUCAGGUCUGUGGUGGGACCUAGACAUCUACUUAGAACAAAACAAAACAAAAACCUCCUGAGAGAGAAUAGGAAAUAUUUACAUUUUACAUUAUUCAAUUCUGCAUUUUUUCCCCUUUCA